CUGCACGCAGACCGAAAACCACCAGUAAACCUGCACGCAGUUUUUAUUUGAAAUGUUGAUAAUCCAUGGAUGGAUGGAUGGAUGGAUGGAUGUUGAUAAUGGUUAUGAUAACAAAAACAUGGUCAAAGCCAGGACAUACAAAGUCUCUUCCUCAGUGAAGGUGGAGCAGCUUGAGGCAGAACUGUUUUCCCAGCUCCAGGCUCUGAAGAGUGAGAUUGAGAAAAAAGAAACUGUGCACGGAAUAUCCACAAAGUCUCACAGCUCUGUUCAUAUUCCAAAGGAUGUGUCUUAUUUUCGCAUGGAAAGACAGCAAGUUCUCCACAGAGGACUCCAGGUUGCAGGUGUGAAACCUGUAGUAUCCCAAGCAGAGGUCAUCCAGAGAGAGCUGAAAAGCUGCCUUGGCCAAGAGUACACACCUGAGAGCCUACCACUGUUACUGCACCAGUUCUUCACAGACCGAGCAUAUCAGCUGGCCCAGUAUAAAUACCAGCUUAUGUUGAGAUGGAGGAGAUUCUGUCGGCAUUCCAUCAUCCUGCAGCAAUUAUAUCCUCAGUAUAAGGAGCACAUGACUCAAUUGGCAACUGAAUUUGAAGAUGCUCUGCAGAGGGCUCGCAGGCUUGCUGUGUCCAGAGAAAAGGCUCUUUUAGGCACUGGCUACCCCGUCAAUGUGGUUACACAGGAAGAUGUGGUCAUCUAUUUGCAGUGGCUUAUUUGCCACCUACACUCAGUUAAGACUAUACACAACUUCCUGCAUGUGAUUCAUUAUCUUCCUUUGUGUGAGAGGAGAGAAGCAGACAGCAACAGUACACCAGACUUAAGCUCUCCUGGGGAGUUUUCAGGGAUGUUUGUAUCAUCAUCUAAAGUGCCCCGACAAUCUGUAAAAUUAGACGAAUUCCAAGAUCAACUGCAGCACUUACUUUCACAUUAUAACAUCCAGUACAACGUGCAGUCCAUCAAGACUUCUGCUGAUCAGAUGGAACUCUUCAGCAUGGUAUUGGCAAACGUAUUAUCAAAUUGUAGUGUUCAAGAACACUAUUAACAACACGGUUUGUACACACAUCAUAACAGGAGCCUACAUACAGUACUGUGUAAAGUCAGAAAGUGCCCUUCAUUUACUAAAUUUCCAGUCAAAAUAGACAUCCAGUGCAACUUAUUCAUUUUUAUAUGUUAGGUUGAAAAAACAGAAAGGACAUGUUUAUAAGAAAAUUACAUAGAAGCCAGAAAUAAAUAUUAUAUCAUUUUUUUAGUAAUCAAUGCCCACCCUUUGCCUUUAUUAUAGCUACCAUUCCUUUCCACACUGCCAAAGUUCAGUUUUUGAAGUUGGGUGCAUUUUCUGCUUUUCACCAGCCAAUUAAUCCCAAUCACAUUUGAAGAUGUUUAGAUCUGGACUCUGUGAUGAUCAGUCCAUUGUUCUAAAAAGACCAGCAGGGUAUUUGUUUGAUUUGCAGGUUUUCUUCUUUUGUCUGUUUCCUUUUACUGGCUUCUUGACAGCUAUACAUCCUUUAAGACCUAUAGUGUUAGGAUGGACAGAAACACCUGUGGAUUUUUUCAGAUCUGAAACGAGAAUGGAGCUUGAUUUUCUCCUCUCUCUCUCAAAGAUGAAAGCUGUUCACCAUCAAGCUGUGAAAGUGCUGUUCAUCUGAUGGUGACAGUACUGGUGGUCUACCAGGUCUUGCAGUUGUUAGGAGUCAAAGUUUCUUUAUAUAUUUUAAUUAUUUCUCCAGUUUUGAAAACUGACUUUUCACUUACUUUCCUUUGAUGUUUGCUUUCCUUAUAAAAAUGAAUUAUCAAAUGUCCAUAGCAAAAUCUCUUGAACAAUGAAGAACUGGCAUGCUUACUUACUUAAUGGCAGUUUUUACCAGAAAUAAAAUAAAUAAGGAGUGGUUUCUGACUUUUUGGUUGUACUUUAAAUUGGGAGCAGGUUUAUUUAGCAUUAUGCUAAUUAUUCUGUUUUGCUUAGGUCACCUAUGAGUUUAGGACCA
ensembl:lncRNA